rnacentral:rRNA from 1 species
CCUACGGGAGGCAGCAGUGGGGAAUAUUGCGCAAUGGGCGAAAGCCUGACGCAGCGACGCCGCGUGAGGGAUGAAGGUCUUCGGAUCGUAAACCUCUGUCAGCAGGGAAGAACGGUCACUGUGCUAAUCAGCAGUGAAUUGACGGUACCUGCAAAGGAAGCACCGGCUAACUCCGUGCCAGCAGCCGCGGUAAUACGGAGGGUGCGAGCGUUAAUCGGAAUUACUGGGCGUAAAGCGGUCGUAGGCGGUAUGUCAAGUCAAGGGUGAAAUCCCCGCGCUCAACGUGGGAACUGCCUUUGAAACUGGCAAACUGGAGUGUGGGAGAGGAUAGUGGAAUGCCAGGUGUAGGAGUGAAAUGCGUAGAUAUCUGGAGGAACAACAGUGGCGAAGGCGACUAUCUGGCACAUAACUGACGCUGAGGAGCGAAAGCGUGGGUAGCAAACAGGAUUAGAUACCCUGGUAGUC